rnacentral:rRNA from 1 species
UACGUAGGGGGCAAGCGUUGUCCGGAUUUAUUGGGCGUAAAGAGCGUGUAGGCGGCCAGGUAGGUCCGUUGUGAAAACUGGAGGCUUAACCUCCAGCUGUCGAUGGAAACCAUCUGGCUAGAGUCCGGAAGAGGAGAGUGGAAUUCCUGGUGUAGCGGUGAAAUGCGCAGAUAUCAGGAGGAACACCGGUGGCGAAGGCGGGUCUCUGGGCCGAAACUGACGCUGAGGAGCGAAAGCGUGGGGAGCAAACAGG